rnacentral:tRNA from 6 species
UGUAGCUCAGGUGGUUAGAGCGCACCCCUGAUAAGGGUGAGGUCGGUGGUUCAAGUCCACUCA